GGAGAGAUACGAGUCACCUAGACACCGGCAGAGGCAGGAUCUGGGACACCCACAUUCUUUGGUCUCCUAUUCCAGCUCAACACAGGCACCACCAACCACAUCAGGCCCUCAAGCCCAGGUCCUGUCUCCACAAUGCUGAGGACAGGGACAUCCCACUGUCCACUGGGCCUUCAUUUUCCCCUUGUUGUCCUCUACUAGGAAUGAGCAGGUCCCUAACCAAGGUUGGGGCAGAGGGGAAAUGCAUGCUGGGAGCUCAAGCUGUUCCAGAAAAGAGUGUACCCAAGCAGCCCCAGGUGACAGGGCUGGUGGGGACUCUAAAGCUGCCUUGUUUUGUUUUGUUUUGUUUUGAGACAGUAUUUCUCUGUGUAGCCCUGGCUGUCCUGGAACGCACUCUGUAGACCAGGCUGGCCUUGAACUCAGAGAUCUGCCUGCCUCUGCCUCCCAGGUGCUGGGAUUAAAGGUGUGUACCACCAUGUCUGGCUAUGCCCAUGCCAUUCUGCUCUGGGCUGGCUUUCUUCUUGAGACUUUUUCUAUCCUUGAUGUCUUCUGUUGCUGUUGUUUUAUUUCCAGAGAUGGAGCAUAUAGCAGAGGUGGGUAGAGCGCUCGUUUUACCUCAUGCAGGAAGGUCAGUCAUCCCCGGCCCAGCAUAAAAUGGGUGUGGCAGCACAUGCCUAUGAUCCCAGUAUUUAGGAGGCGAAGGCAGGGGGAUGAGACCCUUAAGACCAUCCUUAGUUUAUGUAGCAGGCUGGAGACAGCAAAACAUUUACUUCGGUGUCCGACUGUUGAUUCAGAUUCUGAUUCCGUUGCUAUGUGAGCCUAUGUGAGUCAGUUAGCCACUCUGAGCUUCAGUUUCCACAUCUAUAAAAUGGGUAGAGUGAUGGUUUCAUUAUAGUUACUUGAUGAGAUGAUUUACAACAGGCAUUGAGCAAGUGCCUGUCCAUAGUGAGUACUCAUAGGCACUUUUAUCAUAAUUAUCAAAGAAGCAGCUCAAGGGGCCAGAAUUGUGGCUCACUUACAUAGCACACGCUUAUCAGGCCCGAGGUCCUGGGUUCAAUUCCAGCAACAAAAUAAAUAAUUGAUGGCCAUUGUGGAUAACAUACAUACUCAAAAUGAACGGAGAAAAUCACUGGUUCUGCUAGUCUUUUGAUGUUCUUAGGGCUCUUUACAUAUUUUCAAAUAAAUAAAUGAACAUGGACAAACAUUUUGAAAGGACACAAAAGUCUUAAGAGCCCUCUGACCCUCUCCAUACACAUGUGCAGACAUUCACCAUCCUCAACCCCUUCCACGGCACACUACAGUGUCACAACUAAACUCACAGGCGGUCUCAUUGCUCCUCUAAGUCUCAAGCAAAAAGAGACACGAGGGGCUGGAGAGAUAGCUCAGUUGGUUAAGAGCACUGGCUGCUCUUCCAGAGGUCCCGAGUUCAAAUCUCAGUAACCACGUGGUGGCUCACAACUAUCUAUAACGGGAUCUGACAUCCUUUUCGGGCAUGCAGGUGUACAUGCAGACGACCAUCAUUUCACCGACCUCCUACUGGAGGAAAUUUCUAAUAGUUCUGAUUUUCUGCUGUCCCAUGACCACAAGGCUCAGCUUUCUGUCCGUGUUAGGCUUGGGUCAGUAUAGGAAGACUCCAUAGAAGUGGGAUUCCUGAAUCAGUGUGUGGGAGCACAGGGCGCAUCCGUGUGUCAAGUAGAGAUAUGGGUCGGGACCUUUCCAUCCUUAGGCUCUCUUCUGCCGUUCUGAGGCGAGCAUCCCCCACCUGCUGUUACUUGGUCUAGAUUUUCCAGGCAUGCUCACAUGCUCAGCUGUAGAGAGCUGACUGUCAAGAGAGCCCCUGCUGCUAUCCAGACUCCAGAGCUCAUCUGUAGACCUUGCAGGCCCCUCUAUUCAAACUCUUGGGCCCAGGCCAACAUGAGCUCACUCCUGGAGCGGGACCAGAUUCCUGGCCCUGCACCUGAGCUGCUGGUGACCUUUUCUCCAGGUCUGGGUCUGGACAGCUUCACUUGGUCCCAGGCACGUACAUGUUCUUGCCAGUCCCUGGGGUGGAGUGGGAAGCAGCCCCUCUCCGCCCAAUGAGGUCUCAUCUCCUCAGCCCAAAGUUGAACUGUUGGCUGAGUUGGCUGCGUUUGUUGAUAGAGAGAGAAGCUGUUGUGGAAAUAUUCCCUAACCCGCCCAGGUUUUGGUAAACAGUCUGUUACUCAGGCAACUUGACAGCUUUGGUGGGAAGGGGAAUAGGAGCUUGGUAAGAAAACUGGGUUUUGUGAGCUUUCUGUUCUUCUAGAUAUAACUUUACCGCCAGCCCUUUCUUACCUUGCUCCCUGGACUUGAACACUAUUUCAUAACUGGAAGACCCCUCUCCGGCCCUCCUCAGCUCCCUUAGGGUUAGUUUGUGCCCUGGGAUUCAGUGCUGCCCCCAGUCUGGCGAUCUUUGCCGUGUGCUCCUUCUCUGUCCGUUCUGUGGUCUGUGCCAGGGAACAGAGUGGCUCUCCAGCCUGACGGAUGCUGUGUUGAAUCUGGAAUCAGACAGCUUGGGUUCAGAUUUCAGCUUGGCCACUUAGCCAUGUGACCUUGAGCAAGUGUUUCACUCUCUGUAGCUCACUUUUCCGUCUAUACCGUUGGAGAGGGUGGGGGAGCAUUUACUGCAUAGGACUGCAGAAAGCAUAAAGAACAUUGAUACACGUGAGGCCCUUUGCCACGGUGCCUGGUGAGGAGAGAGGCUCAGGCGGUGGGCAUCAGUCAUCGUGGCUACGAUGCCGUUAUCAUUUGUUGGAGACAGGGGUCUCACUAUGUAGCCCUGGCUGGCCUGCAACUCACUAUGUAGGUCAGGCUGGCCUUGAACUCACAGAGGUCUGCCUGAUUCAACCUCAGGUGCUGGGAUUGCAGGGUGUGAACUAUGACACCUGGCCUUAAAAAUAAUAGUAUCUGUUAUUACAUUGAAUUUAUUUGUACUGUAUGUAUGUGUGCUUAAGCUCACUCAAGCACACAUAUGAAGGUCAGAGGACAACCUGCAGAAAUGAGUUCACUUCUACCAUGUGGAUCCUGGAGGUGGGACUCAGGAUGUUAGAGGUGGUGGCAGGUGCCUAUACCCACUGAGCUACCUCACUGGCCUUAUUUAUUUAUUUAUGAGACAGGAUUUUACUAUAUAGACCAGGGUGGCCUUGAACUCACAAAGAUCCUCCUGCCUUUGUACCUUUGUGCAAGGAAUAAAGGCACGCACCCACCCCACACACAUACUUUAGUUUUCUGUUUUGAUCCUGGGUUCUCCCAGUAUCAGCCCAUUUAGCAUUCAUCCUGUGCUUACAGGUAUGAGCCACCACCCAUGAGCUUAACACAGGAGCUGGUUGUGUUAUGAAUGUCUGCAGAGCUUCAUCAAAGUUGGAAGAGGGACUGGACUCCUCAGGGCUCCUUUUAUGGCUGCUAAGUGUCAGGGCAGGGAUGAAGGAUGGUGCCCAAGGGCUGGCUGAGGAUCUAGGGCCAGAUCUGCCCGUGGGGGAGGGAUCUUAACUUCCUUUGGAGUCCUUUGCCCUGGUGCCUCACCCUCAGACACAUGUGGCUACAGACUCGGUCACUUGUGUUGAUGCAGGAGAAGGAAGAGUCAGGCAAGGUUCUCCUCACGAAGCAGCGCAGAUCCACUUAGAUAGAAGGAGGGGUUACAGAGGCGUUGUGCCAUGCGCUAGUCCUGGGUAUGGCCUAACCUCUCACCCUGCUAGCUCUCCAGACUGGAAACCAUGUCUCCUCCUAGCAGAGAGUUUGGGCGUCUUUUUUUUUUUCUUCUUUAAAUUUAUUUUUCUUUAUGUGUAUGUGUGUGCACCUCUGUGUAUACCAUGUUUAUGCAGGUGCUCACAGAGACCAGACGAAGAUUUUGGAUCCCUUGAACUGGAGUUUCAAGUGGUUGUGAGCCAGCUAAUGGAUGCUGGGGACUGAACUCUGGUCCUCUACAAGAGCAGCAAACUCACUUAACUGCCUAGCCAUCUCUACAGGACACACCCCGCCCCCUUUACUCCCCACUCCCCCGCCCCUUUCUCCUUAUCCCCUCCAGCACUU
rnacentral:lncRNA from 1 species